GUGACAUUAGCUAGUUGGUGGAGUAACGGCCCACNUAGGUUACGAUGUCUAGGGGCUCUGAGAGGAGAAUCCCCCACCACUGGUACUGAGACACGGACCAGACUCCUACGGGAGGCAGCAGUAAGGAAUAUUGGUCAAUGGGGGCAACCCUGAACCAGCCAUGCCGCGUGCAGGAAGACUGCCCUACGGGUUGUAAACUGCUUUUAUCGGGGAAUAACCCUCACUACGUGUAGUGAGUUGAAUGUACCCGAGGAAUAAGGAUCGGCUAACUCCGUGCCAGCAGCCGCGGUAAUACGGAGGAUCCAAGCGUUAUCCGGAUUUAUUGGGUUUAAAGGGUGCGUAGGCGGCACUUUAAGUCAGGGGUGAAAUACGGCAGCUUAACUGUCGCAGUGCCUUUGAUACUGAAGUGCUUGAAUGCGGAUGAAGACGGCGGAAUGAGACAAGUAGCGGUGAAAUGCAUAGAUAUGUCUCAGAACACCAAUUGCGAAGGCAGCUGUCUAAGCCGUAAUUGACGCUGAUGCACGAAAGCGUGGGGAUCGAACAGGAUUAGAUACCCUGGUAGUCCGCGCCCUAAACGAUGAUGACUCGAUGUUUGCGAUAUACAGUAAGCGUCCAAGCGAAAGCGUUAAGUCAUCCACCUGGGGAGUACGCCCGCAAGGGUGAAACUCAAAGGAAUUGACGGGGGCCCGCACAAGCGGAGGAGCAUGUGGUUUAAUUCGAUGAUACGCGAGGAACCUUACCCGGGCUUGAAAGUUACUGAAGCAUCCAGAGACGGAUGCGUCCUUCGGGACAGGAAACUAGGUGCUGCAUGGCUGUCGUCAGCUCGUGCCGUGAGGUGUUGGGUUAAGUCCCGCAACGAGCGCAACCCCUAUGUCUAGUUGCCAGCACGUUAAGGUGGGGACUCUAGACAGACUGCCUGCGCAAGCAGUGAGGAAGGCGGGGACGACGUCAAGUCAUCAUGGCCCUUACGUCCGGGGCUACACACGUGCUACAAUGGACGGUACAGCGGGCAGCUACACAGCAAUGUGAUGCCAAUCUCGUAAAGCCGUUCACAGUUCGGAUCGGGGUCUGCAACUCGACCCCGUGAAGUNGAUUCGCUAGUAAUCGCGUAUCAGCAAGACG
rnacentral:rRNA from 1 species